rnacentral:rRNA from 1 species
GAUGAACGCUGGCGGCGUGCCUAAUACAUGCAAGUCGAGCGAACCACUUCGGCGGUGAGCGGCGAACGGGUCAGUAACACGUAGGUUAUCUGCCCAUCAGACGGGUACACCGAUUGGAAACGAUCGCUAAUACCGGAUAGGACGAAAGUUUAAAGGUGCUUCGGCACCACUGAUGGAUGAGCCUGCGGCGCAUUAGCUAGUUAGUAGGGUAAAGGCCUACCAAGGCGACGAUGCGUAGCCGACCUGGGAGGGUGCACGGCCACACUGGGACUGAGACACGGCCCAGACUCCUACGGGAGGCAGCAGUAGGGAAUCUUCGGCAAUGGGCGAAAGCCUGACCGAGCAACGCCGCGUGAAUGAUGAAGGCCUUCGGGUUGUAAAAUUCUGUUAUAAGGGAAGAAUGGCUUUAGUAGGAAAUGGCUAGAGUGUGACGGUACCUUAUGAGAAAGCCACGGCUAACUACGUGCCAGCCGCCGCCGUAAGAC